rnacentral:lncRNA from 1 species
UCCUAUGAGAAAAUGCUUGCGGGAAAGACUUGCCCACGCAAGCAUCGCACGUUGUGUGCGUGACCAUACGCACGAGGCCAGCACUGGAUGUGCACACUGUGCACAUGUCCCAUCCAUGUGGGGUUUAAGACCAGCACAGGAGUGCGUACUGUGCGCACGUCCUAUCCGCGCGGGCAAAAGAUCGAUCUACGUGCGCAUCCCAUCGUGUGCAUGUAGGCCAGUAUGCACAUGGACAAGGCCAGACAUUGGGCGCCCUAUGCAUGCACCGUCUUUAUAGUAGGCCUAUGUAGAUAGGCCUGCGCGUGGUAGGAUAAGCUGGC